rnacentral:rRNA from 1 species
CUCGUAGGUGGCCAACUAAGUCAGACGUGAAAUCCCUCAGCUUAACUGGGGAACUGCGUCUGAUACUGGAUGGCUUGAGUUUGGGAGAGGGACGCGGAAUUCCAGGUGUAGCGGUGAAAUGCGUAGAUAUCUGGAGGAACACCGGUGGCGAAGGCGGCGUCCUGGACCAACACUGACACUGAUGAGCGAAAGCCAGGGAGCAAACG